rnacentral:rRNA from 1 species
GCAAGUCGAGGGGUAACAUUGUAGCUUGCUACAGAUGACGACCGGCGCACGGGUGCGUAACGCGUAUACAAUCUGCCUUGUACUGAGGGAUAGCCUUUGGAAACGAAGAUUAAGACCUCAUGGUAUUAUUGAUUGGCAUCAAUUAAUAAUAAAGGUUACGGUACAAGAUGAGUAUGCGUCCUAUUAGCUAGAUGGUGUGGUAACGGCAUACUAUGGCGACGAUAGGUAGGGGCCCUGAGAGGGGGAUC